rnacentral:rRNA from 1 species
AGACCCGAAACCCGGUGAUCUAGCCAUGGGCAGGUUGAAGGUUGGGUAACACUAACUGGAGGACCGAACCGACUAAUGUUGAAAAAUUAGCGGAUGACCUGUGGCUGGGGGUGAAAGGCCAAUCAAACCGGGAGAUAGCUGGUUCUCCCCGAAAGCUAUUUAGGUAGCGCCUCGUGAAUUCAUCUCCGGGGGUAGAGCACUGUUUCGGCUAGGGGGCCAUCCCGGCUUACCAACCCGAUGCAAACUGCGAAUACCGGAGAAUGUUAUCACGGGAGACACACGGCGGGUGCUAACGUCCGUCGUGAAGAGGGAAACAACCCAGACCGCCAGCUAAGGUCCCAAAGUCAUGGUUAAGUGGGAAACGAUGUGGGAAGGCCCAGACAGCCAGGAUGUUGGCUUAGAAGCAGCCAUCAU